rnacentral:rRNA from 1 species
AGAGUUUGAUCCUGGCUCAGGACGAACGUUGGCGGUGCGCUUAAUGCAUGCAAGUCGAGGGAGAAGCAGACGUUCCGUAAGGUUCGACUGUGGAAACCGGCGAACGGGUGCGUAACACGUGAGAAACCUGCCCCCCAGAUCGGGAUAGCCCAGGGAAACUUGGAUUAAUACCGGAUACUCUCUUUGGAUCGCAUGAUCCAUUGAGGAAAAGUCCGCUGCUGGGGGAUGGUCUCGCGGCCUAUCAGCUUGUUGGUGAGGUAACGGCUCACCAAGGCUAAGACGGGUAGCUGGUCUGAGAGGACGAUCAGCCACACUGGAACUGAGAUACGGUCCAGACUCCUACGGGAGGCAGCAGCAGGGAAUAUUGCACAAUGGGCGAAAGCCUGAUGCAGCGACACCGCGUGCGGGAUGAAUGCCUUAGGGUUGUAAACCGCUUUCGGGAGGGAAGAAAAUGACGGUACCUCCUAAAGAAGCUCCGGCCAACUACGUGCCAGCAGCCGCGGUAAUACGUAGGGAGCAAACGUUGUCCGGAUUUAUUGGGCGUAAAGGGCUCGUAGGCGGUUCAACAAGUCGAUCGUGAAGGCCCGGGGCUCAACCCCGGGAGGCCGGUCGAAACUGUUGUGACUAGAGUUCGGUAGAGGUGAGUGGAAUUCUCGGUGUAGCGGUGGAAUGCGCAGAUAUCGAGAGGAACACCAUUAG